UGUUUGUGAAACUAACUUUUAAUGGCUGAGC
rnacentral:piRNA from 1 species